UACGUAGGCAGCAAGCGUUGUUCGGAGUUACUGGGCGUAAAGAGUGCGUAGGCGGUGCUCUAAGUUUGGUGUGAAAUCUCCCGGCUCAACUGGGAGGGUGCGCCGAAAACUGGAGUGCUUGAGUAUGGGAGAGGCAAGCGGAAUUCCUGGUGUAGCGGUGAAAUGCGUAGAUAUCAGGAAGAACACCCGUGGCGAAGGCGGCUCUCUGGGACGGUACUGACGCUGAGACGCGAAAGCGUGGGGAGCGAACAGG
rnacentral:rRNA from 1 species